rnacentral:rRNA from 1 species
GAUGAACGCUGGCGGCGUGCCUAAUACAUGCAAGUCGAGCGAAUGGAUUAAGAGCUUGCUCUUAUGAAGUUAGCGGCGGACGGGUGAGUAACACGUGGGUAACCUGCCCAUAAGACUGGGAUAACUCCGGGAAACCGGGGCUAAUACCGGAUAACAUUUUGAACCGCAUGGUUCGAGAUUGAAAGGCGGCUUCGGCUGUCACUUAUGGAUGGACCCGCGUCGCAUUAGCUAGUUGGUGAGGUAACGGCUCACCAAGGCAACGAUGCGUAGCCGACCUGAGAGGGUGAUCGGCCACACUGGGACGUAGACACGGCCCAGACUCCUACAGGAGGCAGCAGUAGGGAAUCUUCCGCAAUGGACGAAAGUCUGACGGAGCAACGACGCGUGAGUGAUGAAGGCUUUCGGGUCGUAAAACUCUGUUGUUAGGGAAGAACAAGUGCUAGUUGAAUAAGCUGACACCUUGACGGUACCUAACCAGAAAGCCACGGCUAACUACGUGCCAGCCGCCGCCGUAA